GAGCUGGAAUUGAAACACUAGAAAGUGCUCUAGAAGUAGUGUGAAGGGAAGGACGCAGAGCCAGGACAGGGCUGUGAGCAAGGGCGUGAGUCAGUAGGCCACGGCAAUCACCCACAUGUCUGUCUGCACAUCCAUCCAUCCAUCCGUCCGUCCGUCCAUCUCAACAACCAGUAUUUACUGAAACACUGUUGUAUGUCGGGUGGUAGGAACAGUCGAGCCAACCAGAUGGAAAGCGGGUGACAGCUGAGACGUGGGGACAAACAUCGCAGACAGAGUUAUUCUUACAAGACAAGCAUUCAGUGACGGGAGGAUCUGUUCUCCCCGACGGCAAGCCUGUUGCACGCACACGGCUACUGUGUGUCACCUGUCCUCUCCUAACACUCAUCUCACGGACCAACAGAUUUAUUUGCUAACAGAUGUUCUUCUCAAGGACACAUGCUCAGGGAGUAUUUUGUGACAGUGACUGUGAUGAAGAACAGUUGGCUCAGAUGACAUUAUAAAUGAUCAAAUAUCUUCACAAACACACCUUGAGAAAAAUCAGUCAAAUUUCAAUAGGCACAUUUUGACAAGGAAAUACCUUCAAAUUAUCAGGCUUUCUCACUGGGGCUAAUCAAGCAUAUUCUUAUAACGGGCAUACUGUAACUGCUUACCAACAAUUGUAACACAAACCACUCAUUGAGUUUUUGAGCCUAACGCUAUGCUGGAAUACCUUCAGCUUAAAACCAGCGGAUGAUUACAGGACAAGGGAUCACAGGGGUCAUCUAAUGCAAUCUCCGGUCACCCCUUUCAUGCUCCUGAGGAGGGCAACAUGCGGUACCCACUGCAUUUUUCUCCAAACAUGAGAAGAGCCUAUAAUCUCAGCCACUAGAGCACAGUUUUUAAUAAAGC